GCCAGGCAUGGUGGUGCAUGCCUGUAAUCCAGCUACUUGGGAGGCUGAGGCAGAAGAAUUGCUUGAACCCAGGAGGCAGAGGUUGCAGUGAGCCAAGAUUGUGCCACUGCACUCCAGCUUGGGUGACAAAGUGAGACUUUGUCUCAA
rnacentral:SRP_RNA from 2 species